AUUGAACGCUGGCGGCAGGCCUAACACAUGCAAGUCGAGCGAGCGGCGGACGGGUGAGUAAUGUCUGGGAACCUGCUUGACGGAGGUGGAUAACUACUGGAAACGGUAGCUAAUACCGCAUACUAUCAGAUGUUCCCAGUUGGGAGUAGCUAGUAGGUGGGGUAACGGCUCACCUAGGCGACGAUCCCUAGCUGGUCUGAGAGGAUGACCAGCCACACUGGAACUGAGACACGGUCCAGACUCCUACGGGAGGCAGCAGUGGGGAAUAUUGCACAAUGGGCGCAAGCCUGAUGCAGCCAUGCCGCGUGUGUGAAGAAGGCCUUCGGGUUGUAAAGCACUUUCAGCGGGGAGGCGUUACCCGCAGAAGAAGCACCGGCUAACUCCGUGCCAGCAGCCGCGGUAAUUC
rnacentral:rRNA from 1 species